rnacentral:rRNA from 1 species
GACGAACGCUGGCGGCGUGCCUAAUACUUGCAAGUCGAACGAGAGCGACCGGUGCUUGCACUGGUCAAUCUAGUGGCGAACGGGUGAGUAACACGUGGGUAACCUGCCCAUCAGAGGGGGAUAACAUCCGGAAACGGAUGCUAAAACCGCAUAGGUCUUCGAACCGCAUGGUUUGAAGAGGAAAAGAGGCGCAAGCUUCUGCUGAUGGAUGGACCCGCGGUGCAUUAGCUAGUUGGUGAGGUAACGGCUCACCAAGGCCGUGAUGCAUAGCCGACCUGAGAGGGUGAUCGGCCACAUUGGGACUGAGACACGGCCCAAACUCCUACGGGAGGCAGCAGUAGGGAAUCUUCCGCAAUGGACGCAAGUCUGACGGAGCAACGCCGCGUGAGUGAAGAAGGUUUUCGGAUCGUAAAACUCUGUUGUUAGAGAAGAACAAGUGCUAGAGUAACUGUUAGCGCCUUGACGGUAUCUAACCAGAAAGCCACGGCUAACUACGUG